AUGCGGGAGGCGACUGGGGGCGCGAUCGCCGGGCUCCGUGCGGGGCCGCCGCCCGUUCCCUCCGGUGACCGUCGGCGGGUAGGGGGCCGGUUUUGGGCCCUCGCCGACGCUGACGACGACGAGGGGGAUGAGGAGGCGGAUGUGGCGUCGCCGUCUCCACCAUCGCCGACUCCUUCGGAUGUUUUGUGUGAUUUUUUGAGCGUAGGGUACAGCGAUGAUGAUGUUGCCUCCACCGUCGACAAGGUCCUACCCAUCGAUGACCUGGCCAGGGUCGGGCUACCGGCGGGACAGACCAAGGAGAUGCUGCGCUGGGUAGUUCACCGGCGAACGGCGGCGACGGCGGUGCGGACUUGGAAGGGUCCCCUGACCAAGGUACGUCUUUCAAAUUUGACUGUUUUUCAUCUGAUUCGACCGGAAUCUUGGGCUUUGGUCAAGAGGAGAAAGAGUUCUCCGAAUGGCCCCCGAUCGGCGCCGGAGGUAACCGCGGCUGCGCCGCCGGCGGUCACGGCGAUCCGGAUUAGGGAUGUUCUCCAGGAGCGUUUGAAUUCGCUCCUGGGCCGAACCGGUGUGCGGGAGGUUGUUGGGCCGGUGGGUAUCACUGGGCCGGGGUCCGUUGGGUAUGAGGCCCAGCUGGGAUCGGUACAGAUCGAUACCGAGGGGGUAGACGCAUGCAGUUCGUCCAGAUCGUUGUCUACCUCCCUCUCGCCGCGCCCUAGGGUUCUUCAUCGUCGUCUCCCGCGUCUUCGUACUGCGGGGAUCGGCCGGGCUCGCCGCGCCCUGGGGUUCUUCAUCGUCGUCUCCCGCAUCUUCGUACUACGGGGAUCGGCCGGGCUCGCCGCAUCCUGCCUCUUGGAGCCAUGGCAGGGCGUGGUGGAGCGCCGCCCGGGCUGUGUCUGGCGGGGUGAGCCGAGACGGUGGGGCGCCGCCUGA
rnacentral:rRNA from 1 species